UACGUAGGGUGCAAGCGUUGUCCGGAAUUAUUGGGCGUAAAGAGCUCGUAGGCGGUCUGUCGCGUCGGCUGUGAAAACUCGGGGCUCAACCCCGAGCCUGCAGUCGAUACGGGCAGACUAGAGUGCUGUAGGGGAGACUGGAAUUCCUGGUGUAGCGGUGAAAUGCGCAGAUAUCAGGAGGAACACCGGUGGCGAAGGCGGGAUCUCUGGGC
rnacentral:rRNA from 1 species